rnacentral:rRNA from 1 species
CGGAGGGUGCAAGCGUUAAUCGGAAUUACUGGGCGUAAAGGGUUCGUAGGUGGUUUAUUAAGUUAUUUGUAAUAUCCCUGGGCUUAACCUGGGCAGGUCAGAUAAUACUGGUAGACUCGAGUAUGGGAGAGGGUAGUGGAAUUUCCGGUGUAGCGGUGAAAUGCGUAGAGAUCGGAAGGAACACCAGUGGCGAAGGCGGCUACCUGGCCUAAUACUGACACUGAGGAACGAAAGCGUGGGGAGCAAACAGGAUUAGAUACCCUGGUAGUCCACGCCGUAAACGAUGUCAACUAGCUGUUGGUCAUAUUGAUAUGAUUAGUGGCGCAGCAAACGCGAUAAGUUGACCGCCUGGGGAGUACGGUCGCAAGAUUA